rfam:Triticum aestivum genome assembly, contig: Triticum_aestivum_CS42_TGACv1_scaffold_526828_6DL
AAUGUACUCCCUCUGUUCAGAAAUAUUUGUCGGAUAAAUGGAUAUAUCUAAAUGUAUUUUAGUUUUAGAUUUACUUUAAUCCAUUUCUCCGACAAGUAUUUUCGGACGGAGGGAGUACAAU